AUUGAACGCUGGCGGCAGGCCUAACACAUGCAAGUCGAACGAGUGGCGGACGGGUGAGUAAUGUCUGGGAAACUGCCUGAUGGGGGGGGAUAACUACUGGAAACGGUAGCCAAUACCGCAUACCAUCAGAUGUGCCCAGAUGGGCUUCGCUAGCUGGGGGGGUAACGGCUCACAAAGGCGACGAUCCCUAGCUGGUCUGAGAGGAUGACCAGCCACACUGGAACAGAGACACGGUCCAGACUCCUACGGUAUGCAGCAGUGGGGAAUAUUUCACAAGUGGCGCAAGCCUGAUGCAGCCCGGCCGCGUGUAUGAAGAAGGCCUUCGGGUUGUAAAGUACUUUCAGCGGGGAGGCGUUACCCGCAGAAGAAGCACCGGCUAACUCCGUGCCAGCAGCCGCGGUAAUUC
rnacentral:rRNA from 1 species